GGUGUUUCGUUUCAAAUUAAAAGAAUUUGAAGCUUUCGUUCCCGAUAAAACAAGGAAUGCACAGAGAGAGGACGAAUAUGAAAGCAAUUUCUUCUUCGCCAGUGCAAGUACCUCUUCGUUCUCCUUCUCCUUCUCUUCUAGCUUCUUCUUUCUUCUCUUCUAACCUCUUCACUUUCGUCUUCUUCUACUGUAGUAUCAGAGUAGAUAAAGGGUUUUUGAACCUUCGAUGAUGGAUUCCAGAUUCCAGCGAUAGAGAUCGAGUUUAGAGCCAAAUUUCAGCGAUAGAGUUGUGAAAUCGCCAGUGCAGAGCACAGAGUAGGUGAAGGGGCCAAUUUUUUUGGGGUUUUUUUGACCACCUAUGAGGGAUUCCAGAUUCUAGCGUUCGAUAUCGAUUAUGAGUUUAGAGCUUCAUAUUUUAUCAGGUAUACAUACAUUUUCCUCUUUAGCCCUGUGAAAUCAAUCAUAGAGGGAAGACAUAGGUAAUGUCCCCAAAUCGCAGAGCAGAGACACUCCUUUGCCCACAUUUGUUGACUUCUUCACCUGAGAAUCAGG